rnacentral:rRNA from 1 species
UACGGAGGGUGCAAGCGUUAUCCGGAUUCACUGGGUUUAAAGGGUGCGUAGGCGGGCAGGUAAGUCAGUGGUGAAAUCUUGGGGCUUAACCCCGAAACUGCCAUUGAUACUAUUUGUCUUGAAUAUUGUGGAGGUAAGCGGAAUAUGUCAUGUAGCGGUGAAAUGCUUAGAUAUGACAUAGAACACCUAUUGCGAAGGCAGCUUACUACGCAUAUAUUGACGCUGAGGCACGAAAGCGUGGGGAUCAAACAGG